rnacentral:tRNA from 1 species
CACUACGAAGCUUAGAGCGUUAACCUUUUAAGUUAAAGUUAGAGACGGUAAGUCUCCGCAGUGA